GGGAUAACAGUUGGAAACGGCUGCUAAUACCGCAUAAGCGCACGGCAUCGCAUGAUGCAGUGUGAAAAACUCCGGUGGUAUAAGAUGGACCCGCGUUGGAUUAGCUAGUUGGUGAGGUAACGGCCCACCAAGGCGACGAUCCAUAGCCGACCUGAGAGGGUGACCGGCCACAUUGGGACUGAGACACGGCCCAAACUCCUACGGGAGGCAGCAGUGGGGAAUAUUGCACAAUGGGCGAAAGCCUGAUGCAGCGACGCCGCGUGAGCGAAGAAGUAUUUCGGUAUGUAAAGCUCUAUCAGCAGGGAAGAUAAUGACGGUACCUGACUAAGAAGCACCGGCUAAAUACGUGCCAGCAGCCGCGGUAAUACGUAUGGUGCAAGCGUUAUCCGGAUUUACUGGGUGUAAAGGGAGCGCAGGCGGUGCGGCAAGUCUGAUGUGAAAGCCCGGGGCUCAACCCCGGUACUGCAUUGGAAACUGUCGUACUAGAGUGUCGGAGGGGUAAGCGGAAUUCCUAGUGUAGCGGUGAAAUGCGUAGAUAUUAGGAGGAACACCAGUGGCGAAGGCGGCUUACUGGACGAUAACUGACGCUGAGGCUCGAAAGCGUGGGGAGCAAACAGGAUUAGAUACCCUGGUAGUCCACGCCGUAAACGACGAAAACGAGGUGUUGGGAAGCAUUGCUUCUCGGUGCCGUCG
rnacentral:rRNA from 1 species